GCUACGGGUGGCAGCAGUGGGGAAUAUUGGGCAAUGGAGGCAACUCUGAACCAGCAACGCCGCGUGAAUGAUGAAGGUCUUCGGAUUGUAAAGUUCUGUGAUGGGGGAUGAACACAAUGACGGUACCCCAAUAGCAAGCCACGGCUAACUACGCGACAGCAGCCGCGGUAAUACGGAGGUGGCAAGCGUUAUUCGGAUGGACUGGGUGUAAAGGGGGCGUAGGUGGUUUAGUAAGUUGGAGGUGUAAUUCAGGGGCUCAACCUCGGCGCUAGCGCAGAUACUAUUAGACGAGAGGGCAGGAGGGGGAGGUGGAAUUCGGGGUGUAGCGGUGAAAUGCGUAGAUAUCCCGAGGAACACCCGUGGCGAAGGCGGCCUGCUGGACAUUAACUGACGCUGAGGCGCGAAAGCGUGGGGAGCAAACAGGAUUAGAUACCCUUGUAGUC
rnacentral:rRNA from 1 species